GUCCACGCCCUAAACGAUGUCUACUUGCUGUUGGGGGUAAAACCUUAGUAGCGAAGCUAACGUGAGAAGUAGACCGCCUGGGGAGUACGGUCGCAAGAUUAAAACUCAAAGGAAUUGACGGGACCCGCACAAGCGGUGGAUGAUGUGGAUUAAUUCGAUGCAACGCGAAGAACCUUACCUGCUCUUGACAUGCUAGGAAGGCCUAAGAGAUUAGGCUGUGCCGCAAGGAACCUAGACACAGGUGCUGCAUGGCUGUCGU
rnacentral:rRNA from 1 species